AGUCUCGACGCUUCGGGGCCACCCCAGGGUCUGGUCCCUGACGACGCGCAGUGAGGGCCCCGCCGCUACCCCAGCAGUCGCCUCCCAAGUUCGCGGAACGCAGCUGACCGGCUCCCUCUGGACUGGGUGACAUGACUGCUCCCAAGCAGUCGUUUGUAAACUGAGUUUCUGUAAAACAAUUUUAUUUUUCAUAUGUGACUGUAGCGGGGUAUGAUUUGAACUUUGUUUUCCGUCCCCCAGCCCGGAUUCUCUGUCUUCUCCUGUACAGCCGUUCCGUUUUCUUACCUCGUCUCCGUCACCGAGGCCCUCAGCCCUGAACACAAGGACUGGGCAGUUUCCCUAUUGAUUCCUGAACCUGGAACUUAAGACAUCUUCCGAGGGGCCCCCCCUUGCCACACCCUCUAGCUGAUCGACUCACAAAUACCUGUGAUUUCUCUCCCCGUCUCCACCUCCAACCCAGGGGCUGAUGAUGAUGGGGAAAUCACCUACGAGAAUGUUCAAGUGCCCGCAGUCCUAGGGGUGCCCUCAAGCUUGGCUUCUUCUGUACUAGGGGACAAAGCACGGUCAAGUCGGAGCAGCCAACUGCGUCCUGGAGAGCCGUGACGUCACCAGCUGUCGGGCGGAUUCUCCCCGCCGCACAACCUGCCUGCGAUACCUCCUGCUCGGCCUGCUCCUCACCUGCCUGCUGUUAGGAGUGACCGCCAUCUGCCUGGGAGUGCGCAUCUGCAGGUGUCUCAGCAGCUCCAGCAGACGAACAGGGUUCUGGAAGUCACUAACAGCAGCCUGAGGCAGCAGCUCCGCCUCAAGAUAACGCAGCUGGGACAGAGUGCAGAGGAUCUGCAGGGGUCCAGGAGAGAGCUGGCGCAGAGUCAGGAAGCACUACAGGUGGAACAGAGGGCUCAUCAGGCGGCCGAAGGGCAGCUACAGGCCUGCCAGGCAGACAGACAGAAGACGA
rnacentral:lncRNA from 1 species